UAGGGAAACUUCCGCAAUGGACGAAAGUCUGACGGAGCAACGCCGCGUGUAUGAUGAAGGUCUUCGGAUUGUAAAGUACUGUCUUUGGGGAAGAACGACUGAUUUGAGAAUAUUGAGUCAGUAUGACGGUACCCAAGGAGGAAGCCCCGGCUAACUACGUGCCAGCAGCCGCGGUAA
rnacentral:rRNA from 1 species